rnacentral:lncRNA from 1 species
GCGCGGCGCCCUACCUGAAGCAAUAGCCGCCUGCUCUCGGCGCGGCCCGAGCCCCGGGGCUCCCGGCACUUGGGCGGCGCGGGGGCCGGGGGGCUCCCCGGGGCCUGGGGGCUGCAGGGAGGCCCGGGCUCCAGCGCCUCGCAGCACACCAAGCUCACGGUGCAGCCCAUCCGGCCGGGGCGCCAGCCAGCCCCUCGCCCUGGCGUCCGCUCGGCCCAGGGAGCCUGCGACGUCGGGAGGGGGACGGCGACACCCCCAGCCCGUCCCCUCCCGGAGCCUCCUUGGCCCGCAGCUCCAGGAAGCGGGGGAGCACGGAGUCCGGCAAGGGGCGGUGACACGGGCGCGGACGCCCGGACGCAGCCACGGAAGAAAGACAAGAGCAAGUGACCGUGAUGAGAAGGGGAGAGAACUCGCAGAGCAACAAUUGCCACUACCUCAUCGUCUUCCGCUCCUCCUGCUCUGAGCAAGAUUUCCCCCUCCUCCAGGGUGCUGGGCUGGGCAUGAGUCACUUCGCAGGCAGCGAACUCUGGAAAAGGUUGUGCAGAGCCCUCAGUCACAAAUGACAGGCUCAGGCUGCAGUGCUCUGCUUUCC